rnacentral:rRNA from 1 species
UUAAGUUAUUAAGGGCGCACGGUGGAUGCCUUGGCACUAGAAGCCGAUGAAGGACGUUACUAACGACGAUAUGCUUUGGGGAGCUGUAAGUAAGCUUUGAUCCAGAGAUUUCCGAAUGGGGAAACCCAGCAUGAGUUAUGUCAUGUUAUCGAUAUGUGAAUACAUAGCAUAUCAGAAGGCACACCCGGAGAACUGAAACAUCUUAGUACCCGGAGGAAGAGAAAGAAAAUUCGAUUCCCUUAGUAGCGGCGAGCGAAAUGGGAAGAGCCCAAACCAACAAGCUUGCUUGUUGGGGUUGUAGGACACUCUAUACGGAGUUACAAAGGACGACAUUAGACGAAUCAUCUGGAAAGAUGAAUCAAAGAAGGUAAUAAUCCUGUAGUCGAAAAUGUUGUCUCUCUUGAGUGGAUCCUGAGUACGACGGAGCACGUGAAAUUCCGUCGGAAUCUGGGAGGACCAUUUCCUAAGGCUAAAUACUCUCUAGUGACCGAUAGUGAACCAGUACCGUGAGGGAAAGGUGAAAAGCACCCCGGAAGGGGAGUGAAAUAGAACCUGAAACCGUGUGCUUACAAGUAGUCAGAGCCCGUUAAUGGGUGAUGGCGUGCCUUUUGUAGAAUGAACCGGCGAGUUACGAUUUGAUGCAAGGUUAAGCAGUAAAUGUGGAGCCGUAGCGAAAGCGAGUCUGAAUAGGGCGUUUAGUAUUUGGUCGUAGACCCGAAACCAGGUGAUCUACCCUUGGUCAGGUUGAAGUUCAGGUAACACUGAAUGGAGGACCGAACCGACUUACGUUGAAAAGUGAGCGGAUGAACUGAGGGUAGCGGAGAAAUUCCAAUCGAACCUGGAGAUAGCUGGUUCUCUCCGAAAUAGCUUUAGGGCUAGCCUCAAGUGAUGAUUAUUGGAGGUAGAGCACUGUUUGGACGAGGGGCCCCUCUCGGGUUACCGAAUUCAGACAAACUCCGAAUGCCAAUUAAUUUAACUUGGGAGUCAGAACAUGGGUGAUAAGGUCCGUGUUCGAAAGGGAAACAGCCCAGACCACCAGCUAAGGUCCCAAAAUAUAUGUUAAGUGGAAAAGGAUGUGGCGUUGCCCAGACAACUAGGAUGUUGGCUUAGAAGCAGCCAUCAUUUAAAGAGUGCGUAAUAGCUCACUAGUCGAGUGACACUGCGCCGAAAAUGUACCGGGGCUAAACAUAUUACCGAAGCUGUGGAUUGUCCUUUGGACAAUGGUAGGAGAGCGUUCUAAGGGCGUUGAAGCAUGAUCGUAAGGACAUGUGGAGCGCUUAGAAGUGAGAAUGCCGGUGUGAGUAGCGAAAGACGGGUGAGAAUCCCGUCCACCGAUUGACUAAGGUUUCCAGAGGAAGGCUCGUCCGCUCUGGGUUAGUCGGGUCCUAAGCUGAGGCCGACAGGCGUAGGCGAUGGAUAACAGGUUGAUAUUCCUGUACCACCUAUAAUCGUUUUAAUCGAUGGGGGGACGCAGUAGGAUAGGCGAAGCGUGCGAUUGGAUUGCACGUCUAAGCAGUAAGGCUGAGUAUUAGGCAAAUCCGGUACUCGUUAAGGCUGAGCUGUGAUGGGGAGAAGACAUUGUGUCUUCGAGUCGUUGAUUUCACACUGCCGAGAAAAGCCUCUAGAUAGAAAAUAGGUGCCCGUACCGCAAACCGACACAGGUAGUCAAGAUGAGAAUUCUAAGGUGAGCGAGCGAACUCUCGUUAAGGAACUCGGCAAAAUGACCCCGUAACUUCGGGAGAAGGGGUGCUCUUUAGGGUUAACGCCCAGAAGAGCCGCAGUGAAUAGGCCCAAGCGACUGUUUAUCAAAAACACAGGUCUCUGCUAAACCGUAAGGUGAUGUAUAGGGGCUGACGCCUGCCCGGUGCUGGAAGGUUAAGAGGAGUGGUUAGCUUCUGCGAAGCUACGAAUCGAAGCCCCAGUAAACGGCGGCCGUAACUAUAACGGUCCUAAGGUAGCGAAAUUCCUUGUCGGGUAAGUUCCGACCCGCACGAAAGGCGUAACGAUUUGGGCACUGUCUCAACGAGAGACUCGGUGAAAUCAUAGUACCUGUGAAGAUGCAGGUUACCCGCGACAGGACGGAAAGACCCCGUGGAGCUUUACUGUAGCCUGAUAUUGAAAUUCGGCACAGCUUGUACAGGAUAGGUAGGAGCCUUUGAAACGUGAGCGCUAGCUUACGUGGAGGCGCUGGUGGGAUACUACCCUAGCUGUGUUGGCUUUCUAACCCGCACCACUUAUCGUGGUGGGAGACAGUGUCAGGCGGGCAGUUUGACUGGGGCGGUCGCCUCCUAAAAGGUAACGGAGGCGCUCAAAGGUUCCCUCAGAAUGGUUGGAAAUCAUUCAUAGAGUGUAAAGGCAUAAGGGAGCUUGACUGCGAGACCUACAAGUCGAGCAGGGUCGAAAGACGGACUUAGUGAUCCGGUGGUUCCGCAUGGAAGGGCCAUCGCUCAACGGAUAAAAGCUACCCCGGGGAUAACAGGCUUAUCUCCCCCAAGAGUUCACAUCGACGGGGAGGUUUGGCACCUCGAUGUCGGCUCAUCGCAUCCUGGGGCUGUAGUCGGUCCCAAGGGUUGGGCUGUUCGCCCAUUAAAGCGGUACGCGAGCUGGGUUCAGAACGUCGUGAGACAGUUCGGUCCCUAUCCGUCGUGGGCGUAGGAAAUUUGAGAGGAGCUGUCCUUAGUACGAGAGGACCGGGAUGGACAUACCUCUGGUGUACCAGUUGUCGUGCCAACGGCAUAGCUGGGUAGCUAUGUGUGGACGGGAUAAGUGCUGAAAGCAUCUAAGCAUGAAGCCCCCCUCAAGAUGAGAUUUCCCAACUUCGGUUAUAAGAUCCCUCAAAGAUGAUGAGGUUAAUAGGUUCGAGGUGGAAGCAUGGUGACAUGUGGAGCUGACGAAUACUAAUCGAUCGAAGACUUAAUCAA